rfam:Oryza nivara chromosome 5, whole genome shotgun sequence.
AAAAAGACAAACCCUGAGUUUCCGUGUUCAAUUUUGAUCGUCCGUCUUAUAUGAAAUUUUUUUAUAAUUCGUAUUUUUAUUGUUGUUAGAUAAUAAAACAUGAUUAAUAUUUUAUGCGUGACUUGUCUUUUUAAUUUUUUUAAAUAAGACGAAACGGUCAAACGUUAGGCACGGAAACCAGGGUUUAGAUGAAG